CAUCUGGUGCCAGCAGCCGCGGUAAUUCCAGCUCCAAUAGCGUAUAUUAAAGUUGUUGCAGUUAAAAAGCUCGUAGUUGAAUUUCGGGGUCAGUAGGUUGGUCGUGCCACCGGUACGUACUGGUCUCACUGAUUCCUCCUUCCUGAUGAGCUGUAAUGCCAUUAAUUUGGUGUUGCAGGGAAUCUGGACUGUUACUUUGAAAAAAUUAGAGUG
rnacentral:rRNA from 1 species